AAUGUGUAUGCAUUGUCCUAUGUUAGACACGUACCCAUCUGGAAAUUUUACCACAUCUUUAACCAUUUGAGAAAUCCCAUUUUUGCAUUAGGAGACAGCCUGAAUAUCCACUACAAAAAAUGUGUGUAUUGAUAGAGCACUACACCAUAGCGCGGAUUCCGUAAUUGCUAUUAUAGAUGGUACCCGGAAUUUUGUAACUAUAUCACAGCAUUUUUGAAACGCUAAGACGAAUAACAGCAAAGCGGGAAGCAAAAAUACUUGUGACCGCCAACAAUUUCCCAAAAUAUUAGAUUUAACGCCCACCACUUAACGAAAAAACAAAAAAAACUCUUCUGACUUAGGUCAUAACACUUAACUUCUAAUUUUUUUUUCUAAGUCUUCACUCGUCGUCUUCUUCUCUAGAAAAGCUUCUCUAAUCUCUAAAUCCACACCACUUCCUAGCCACAUACCUUUUCCGUUGACAUGGCCUCGUCUCCUCCGUCUUCCACCGUAUUCUGCCGUUAAAGAGAUGAAUUCGAACAAGAUAAAUUGAAUCGGUAAGGAGAUCGGAAACGAGAUGGUGGUGACAAGAAGGAGAAGAAGUUCGAACGAGCCGCACCACCUGCUCGUGUUGGGAGGAAGCAACAUAAGCAGAAAGGACUUGAAGCGGCGGCUAGAUUCCGACCGUGACUCCUACUAAAUGAAAGCUUUGAUUGCUUAAACUGAAGCGAUUAGUACACAAAUGAUUGGGUCAUGACCCUCUAUUUCCCUGAUUCGGAUAAGUUCAUUCAUCUUUCUUGAUUAGGUUGUUGAAAAUUUAUGUGUGCUUUGAUUUGUUGUUUUGAAAUUGAUUUUAUUCAUUGUACUUCUAAGAGGUUAUGUUUUUAGAGUUCUCUGUGCACACAAGGUGUUUGACGAAUUGACUGUGAGACAGAAACUAAGAAACGACUCUCUCAACAUGUCAACCUAUGAUGAUCUUUCAUGUUUGCUAAUUGAUUGUAAAAAUUACCUUUGCUUUUGUAGUAUAAAAUGGUGGACUAUAUCCUUGGAGUUUCUGAUCCUAUGAAACAGCACUUUGAGGUGAGCAAUAUCUUUUGACUGUAAUUCUUAGUUCAUUAGCUAUUUAAAGCCAAAGAAUUAGAAAAUGAAUUCAGAUCACUAUGCUUCAUGGAUGGUUCACUUUGUGGAGCAAUGCUGGUAUACUUCUCUCCAUAUUCCAUAUUCCAUAUUCUUGCAUUGUUUAUACGGCUUAAUCAAAUACUGAACAUGACAUAAGUUGAUGAUGAUGUCUCGAUGUUCUUGAGUGUUGUGUUUUUUUUGUGGGUUAAAAACAUAUCAAAAGCUUUCUCGAGAAAGUCAAACCAUUCCGUUUAGAUACACCACUUGAAAAUAGAAAGUGCAUCAUCUUUCAAGACGAAUAUGAAGGCACAUGAUUAGAUUAAAAAUAUGUUCACCAUGAACAUGAAUGCUAUCGAGAAGAUGAAACACAUAGAGAAGACGAGACUGAAGUUUGUCUUUAUUAUGUUAGUUUUAUUUUGUUUAAAACUUGCUAUUUCACGUGACAUGUUUAGGAAGAAGAAAUGAAAAAUGAAAAAUGUUUGUUC